GUCUGACAGACAUGAGAACCUUGCAAGGUACACACAUAUCAAAUAUAGUUAUCCUAUUACUUAUAAUAAGAGAGAAUUCAACAUUACAAAAAAUUUGAACUUUUUUUUCAAGUGGUCACUGAACCAUGAAAAUGAGGUCAAGGACAUUGGACAUGUGACUGACGGAAACUUCGUAACAUGAAGCAUCUAUAUACAAAGUAUGAAGCAUCCAGGUCUUCCACCUUCUAAAAUAUAAAGCUUUUAAGAAGUGAGCUAACACCGCCGCCGUAGCCGCCGCCGCCGCCGGAUCACUAUCCCUAUGUCGAGCUUUCUGCAACAAAAGUUGCAGGCUCGACAAAAAUACU
rnacentral:lncRNA from 1 species